AGUGAACGCUGGCGGUAGGCCUAACACAUGCAAGUCGAACGGCAGCACAGUAAGAGCUUGCUCUUACGGGUGGCGAGUGGCGGACGGGUGAGGAAUACAUCGGAAUCUACUUUUUCGUGGGGGAUAACGUAGGGAAACUUACGCUACUACCGCAUACGACCUACGGGUGAAAGCAGGGGAUCUUCGGGCCUUGCGCGAUUGAAUGAGCCGGUGUCGGAUUAGCUAGUUGGCGGGGUAAAGGCCCACCAAGGCGACGAUCCGUAGCUGGUCUGAGAGGAUGAUCAGCCACACUGGAACUGAGACACGGUCCAGACUCCUACGGGAGGCAGCAGUGGGGAAUAUUGGACAAUGGGCGCAAGCCUGAUCCAGCCAUACCGCGUGGGUGAAGAAGGCCUUCGGGUUGUAAAGCCCUGUUGUUGGGAAAGAAAAGCAGCAGGUUAAUACCCCGCUGUUCUGACGGUACCCAAAGAAUAAGCACCGGCUAACUUCGUG
rnacentral:rRNA from 1 species